AGCGAACGCUGGCGGCAGGCCUAACACAUGCAAGUCGAACGGAUCCUUCGGGAUUAGUGGCGGACGGGUGAGUAACACGUGGGAACGUGCCCUUUGGUUCGGAACAACUCAGGGAAACUUGAGCUAAUACCGGAUGUGCCCUUCGGGGGAAAGAUUUAUCGCCAUUGGAGCGGCCCGCGUCUGAUUAGCUAGUUGGUGAGGUAACGGCACACCAAGGCGACGAUCAGUAGCUGGUCUGAGAGGAUGAUCAGCCACACUGGGACUGAGACACGGCCCAGACUCCUACGGGAGGCAGCAGUGGGGAAUCUUGCGCAAUGGGCGAAAGCCUGACGCAGCCAUGCCGCGUGAAUGAUGAAGGUCUUAGGAUUGUAAAAUUCUUUCAGCGGGGACGAUAAUGACGGUACCCGCAGAAGAAGCUCCGGCUAACUUCGUG
rnacentral:rRNA from 1 species